rnacentral:rRNA from 1 species
AUUAAACGCUGGCGGCAUGCCUUACACAUGCAAGUCGAACGGCAGCACGGGGGCAACCCUGGUGGCGAGUGGCGAACGGGUGAGUAAAGCAUCGGAACGUGCCCUGGAGUGGGGGAUAACGUAGCGAAAGUUACGCUAAUACCGCAUAUUCUGUGAGCAGGAAAGCAGGGGAUCGCAAGACCUUGCGCUUUGGGAGCGGCCGAUGUCGGAUUAGCUAGUUGGUGGGGUAAAGGCCUACCAAGGCGACGAUCCGUAGCGGGUCUGAGAGGAUGAUCCGCCACACUGGGACUGAGACACGGCCCAGACUCCUACGGGAGGCAGCAGUGGGGAAUUUUGGACAAUGGGCGCAAGCCUGAUCCAGCCAUGCCGCGUGAGUGAAGAAGGCCUUCGGGUUG